ensembl:lncRNA
GUGGAAAGCCCCCUGCACCCGUGGCUGGGGUCAUGGUGGGCCCUUUGGCUGGUGUGGGCUCACCCCUGCAUCUUCCCUUUACUGUUCCCACUUGCUCCAGCCUGUCUGAUAAGCACGCAACCUCCUUGAGCCCUCAGGAAAGGGACAGAUGACACAGCAGUGAGGAGGGAAGGAAGCAAAGAUUUCCUUCUUGGCUCUGAGUUGCUGUGAUUUACUUUGGAAAAUCAAGAACCUCCCAGAGGGCCCUGUGGGCCAGAGACAAUGGCCAAGUGACCGGAGCAGGUAAAAGAGCCUUCGAGUCCAGGCAACAGACGAAGGACCAAGAUGCAGCAGAACAGUGACUGAACAGCAGAACAGCCGAGUCACUGGCUGGGCUAGGGUCUGCUCACAGCCCCAUGUGCCCAGCUGGCCCCACUCUCAGCCUCCACAAGAAUCCCCUUGAUCUUAGCCUGACCCCAGGAAAAGUGAAUUGAUCAAAUUACUAAGAAUUGACUGAGGUUUGCUUUGUGCCACCUGGUGGAAGGAGGUUUGUAUUUGUUUCCUGGCGCUGCUGUCACCAAUAACCACAAACCGGGUGGCUUAAAACAACAGAAAUGUAUUCUCUUGCAUUCUUGAGGCCGGAAGUCCAAAAUCAAGGCUUUGGCAGCCUGGGGCCCUGCUCCUUCUGCAAGCUGCAGGGGAGGGUCCUUCCUGCCUCCUCCAGCCUCUGGCUUUACCAGCCUCCUGUGUCCUUGGUUUGUAGAAGCAUCUCCCCUAGAGCUUUGCUUC